UCUAGAUCUAACGAACCAAGAGAG
rnacentral:miRNA from 1 species